UGCUUCAGAGGAGGCUCUUCUGAGGCUGCUGUCAGUGGCCAAAGCCUCCAACAAAGCUAUUUCUCAGCUCCCAGUCCUCUAGUAUGAGAGAGCUGGAUCUGAGUAACAAUGAGCUGCAGGAUUCAGGAGUAAAGCAGCUGUCGGCUGGACUGAAGAGUCCACACUGCAGACUGGAAACUCUCAGUCUUUCAGGCUGUCUGGUCUCAGAGGAAGGCUGUACUUCUCUGGCCUCAGCUCUCUGC